GUUGAAACACCGGUUCCCGCAUAAUCACCGAAGUUAAGCAACAUCAAGCCAGGUUAGUACCUAGAUGGGUGACCGCUUGGGUAUACCAGGCGCUGUAA